UAAAAGGCAAGACUGAGUCUAGGUGCUUAGUAAGCUAGUAAGUCGUUACUUGAAAGAUGUGACUUCACAU
rnacentral:rRNA from 1 species